rnacentral:rRNA from 1 species
AUUCUAAGAAUAUACGGGGAGGCCUCCGGUCAGUGCGUAAACAGAGCCAAAAGUGCUAUCUACUUCAGUCCAAACACACCGGCAGCGCUCAAAGAAUCCCUCAAACAGUUGCUCAACGUCCACUCGGAAGCUUUUUCAGAGCGGUAUCUUGGUUUGCCCACCGCUGUUGGGAGAAUCACAAGUGGUACCUUCGAACACAUUGGAGAUCGAGCAAGGGGGAAAAUGCAGGGUUGGUCUGAACGGUUCUUCGCUUGUGGAGGAAGGGAAACAUUGAUCAAAUCUAUUUCCCAGGCUAUACCAACUUUUAGUAUGUCCUGUUUUCUGCUUACCAAAAAAGUCUGCAAAAACUUGACUUCAAACAUGACAAAGUUCUGGUGGGGGAGUUCGGUUGAUAGGCGUUCUUUGCACUGGAUCGCCUGGGACAAACUUGCUACACCUAAGAUUAAAGGAGGGAUGGGCUUCGUGAUCUCCGACAGUUUAAUCUAG